CGAAAUUCGGCCACGAAGUCAUCAAUGUCAGCAACAUAAGGCAUAGAGUCACGAAAGACCCGUUAUCCGUAUUCUUUAUCGAUUUAAAACAGAAACCCAACAAUAAGGAAAUCUAAAACAUCAGACGCCUAAUGAACGCCAUCGUGAAAUUCGAACCACCGCAAAUCAAAAAGGAGAUAAUGCAAUGCAAAAGGUGCCAAAGAUACGGGCACACGCAGAAAUAUUGCAACCAUAUCUUCCGCUGCGUCAAAUGUGCAGGUACACAUCCCACCAACCAGUGCAGGAAAUCACCGGAAACCCCAGCGAAGUGCAUCCACUGUCAAGAAAGACUACCUCCAAGCAACAAACGUUGCAAUAGUAAACUGUCAUGGCACAAUCACCACUUCAGCUGUAUACUGCCCUCCCAGACACUCCAUCGCCAAAGAAGACUUUGAUAACUUCCUGGACACCCUGGGCAAUAGAUUCAUAGCCGGAAGAGAUUACAACGCCAAACACACCCAAUGGGGCAGCAGACUGGUUACAGUAAGAGGCAAAAUCCUCCACAACAGCAUAAUAACCAACAACCUCAACUACCUUACCACAUACGAACCCACAUACUGGUCCCCCGACACAAACAAAAUACCCGAUCUUCUUGAUUUCCUCAUAACUAAAAAUAUCUCGUCAAGACACGUCCAAAUCAAUUCCUCGGCUGAUCUCUCCUCUGAUCAUUCCCCCGUGAUAGUAACAGUCAGUUCAACUAUCAUCGAGAAUACACCUAAUGGCUCCAUUCAUAACCAACACACCAACUGGCAGCUCUUUAGAGAAGUCUUUACCCACACAACUUCAGCCUCAACUCCACUAAAAACCAAUGAAGAAAUCGAAGCAGCCACGGAAUACCUAAACACGAGCAUAAUAAACGCUAUCCGCUUCUCCACGCCGGCAAAAACGUCCAUCAGCAAUCACGAAUAA
rnacentral:misc_RNA from 1 species